GGGUAUGGAGGUACUGGCUCCAUCCAGCAGGGUCUAUCCUGACACAAAUGGCUCAUUAAGGAGCUCCAUCUACCCGCUGAGGAGUCUCCUUCAUUGGGCCAUCCAGCAUGCCACAGUUAAAGUGCUCUGAGGGAGCAUACAUCUUCCCAUGGACAAGGGAAGCUGAGGUGGAUGCAGACUCCUGAUGCUGUGUGGUAACACACUAGAAGAGGUUGCCCAAAGAUGUUGUGAAGGCCAGGUUAGAUGGGAUCCUGAGCAACAUGUGCCAGUGGACAGCAGCUCUGCCCACAGCAGGGGGCUGGAACUGGGUGGGCUCUGGGGUCCUUUGAAACCCAAACCAUUCUGUGAUUCUAUGAUCUUCCAGGCUCAGGAGACUCCAGAUCUGCAGCUCCUGGCUUUUGCUCAUCCACAUCCAGCCCAGAAUGGUGCUUCUGGCUGCAGACUCCACCUCAUCAGUCUAAGACUACAAAACUUAGAAGAAAAUUCCUGCUGUUCAGAAAAGGUGCACUGGUGUGCAGUGAUUUGGAUGGGGUUUGGAUGUGGCAGACAGUGCGGGCUGUGCAGCACCAAGAACAAUGGAGAAUACAAGAAGAUCUGUGCUUCCACUAUAGGAACAGCCAUAGUGUUUUGUAGUGGUGGAGAGUGUGUGGGUGUUAUGGAAAAUCAUGUCACGGACACAUCUCAGGGGAAAGAGGUGGGAUUUGACUCUUUCAACCUGAUGGGCAAAUCAGAAGAUGGGCAGAAAUCUAGCAAUAUUGCACAUCACUGACAAGCUGCUUGGGCUUAUUCCCCAAAGGAAUGAACGACUGGCUGGUGCUGUUUCAACAGGUCUUUCUGUUAGGCUGUUGUGCACUGUUAUUUGUGACCUUGCACUGAUUUUGAGGAACAACCAGAAAACAGUCCUUCUUGGAUCUUGAUCAGCUGCAUGAAAAAGCAAAGCUUCUUAUUUGUACUGGAAGAUCAGAAGGCCUUCAUCACUUAAUAUCUGAAGUGUGAAGAAGACCUGAGUCAUACUAGUGUUGGCAAAGUUGAGAUGCACCUUUUUUCCUAAGUCUGUGAGCUUGUGUUUACCUGGUUAGUACUGAAACAGUGUACCAUAACCAGAAGGUAUAUCUGUGAUCUAAGCAGUGGCAUCUCAAGGACUAACUACACCAUUAUGUGACUAUUUGACAUCCCUAACAUUAGAAUCAGUCUAACAUAUGUGGUUAGAGCACUGAGCGUGCUUCCGAUAGAUCCUGGUCUUUGCCUGGUAAAUAAUUGAAUUUUCAUUUUCACAGAAAUUUUUCAUUACUAAAUCUAAACCAUGGCAAAGCUAGGUGUGCAUCCUAAAGCAGGAGUUAUUUCAUGUAUUUCCAUCAUCUGUUUCAGGGCAGAAUGUGUUGCCCUCUAGAGUAUGCCCAUCUAUCUCAGUUGACUACACAGGGACAAAACCUGCUGAGUUUAGACUAGAAUUGUAGACACAUUCUUGUGAUGAAUCUUACCCUUAGUGUACUGGCUCUCAGUUUGAAGAAAACAGUGAUGCAGGGGCAGGAAAGCAUCUAAUAUCUAUUGAGUUCAUACACAACCUAACACAUCAAAAUAAUUGUCCUUGUGACCUUUUCCUUUUUGAGAAAGACUCAGUCUUGCAGAGAGCUAAGUCUCCCAUCUUGCUGAAAGCUUUCAGCAGCAGCAGGAGUUUCUCUACAGCUCAUGGGCAGUAUGCAGCACUUCCCAGGAUUAGGACUUCGGUACUCCCGUGCUGCUUCUGACAACUUAAAGCAUCUCUUGUU
rnacentral:lncRNA from 1 species